AAAAAGGCAGGCCUUUGUUUCCCAUAUGUGAACUGGGCUCUCAUAAACUUCAGGUAGAUCACUUACAUUGUUUUUGGGUGAACCUCUGUACGUGCAUCAGUUGCAUGUGACUUAAGGUUCAGUAAAUGAUGGAACAUUU
rnacentral:snoRNA from 1 species